rnacentral:rRNA from 1 species
GACGAACGCUGGCGGCGUGCUUAACACAUGCAAGUCGAACGGUGAAGGGGUCUGCUUUUGUGGGCCCUGGAUGAGUGGCGAACGGGUGAGUAACACGUGAGUAACCUGCCCCCUUCUUCUGGAUAACCGCAUGAAAGUGUGGCUAAUACGGGAUAUUCUGGGUCUGUCGCAUGAUGGGUCUGGGAAAGAUUGCGCCUUUGGGUGUUUUUGGUGGGGGAUGGGCUCGCGGCCUAUCAGCUUGUUGGUGGGGUGAUGGCCUACCAAGGCGGUGACGGGUAGCCGGGCUGAGAGGGUGGACGGUCACACUGGGACUGAGACACGGCCCAGACUCCUACGGGAGGCAGCAGUGGGGAAUAUUGCACAAUGGGCGCAAGCCUGAUGCAGCGACGCCGCGUGAGGGAUGGAGGCCUUCGGGUUGUAAACCUCUUUCGCCAGUGAAGCAGGCCUGCUCCGUGUGGGUGGGUUGACGGUAGCUGGAUAAGAAGCGCCGGCUAACUACGUG